AAUUUAAACCUGGGCCUGGUCAAUUUUACGCAUGCUCCAAAGUGCCGUAGAACUAACCGCUUUGAAAAUACGUAGUUUUAGCCACUGAAGUUCAUGCCACGGCACAGGCUGACACCAAACACCUAUAUACCAUUUAUGUCGGUCAAAAGCGGAAAAAAGACCACCCUCAAACUCCUUAGUUGACCGACGUCUGCUGGAGGUUGUGGGAAAGAGCCGUUUCUGCUGUCGUGGUGUGUUGCCCACCUGCGGUGGUUGGGCAGGUGUAGCCGCCGAGGUCAACCCGCUGUCGAGUUCCGCUGUGGGGUUUUCAAUCACAACAGAAAUGCUGUCUAGUUGUGCCUAUGAUUCUUCUUUUUCAUGAACAGGACAUGACAUUCCCCAGAUGAACCGAACACAUCAGGCCGAGGCUACGACAACUCCAGGCUCAUCGCCACAGCUUAGGCUACUUCCUCAAAUUCACAAAGGACAACUGAAGGACCUGGGAUGUGUAAGCUUCACAAAAGCCGCCUCCUAAUGCUGUUCUCACUCAUCAUGGUUUUUAAACAAUAUACGGUAUGCUAAAAGAUAAAGGGGACGUAACGGAAUAUUCAGCUAUACUUGUGGUUUUGCUGUUUUGAUGUGAUUACAUAUAAAUGUUAUUGUCAUUCAGGUGGA